rnacentral:rRNA from 1 species
ACGAACGCUGGCGGCGUGCUUAACACAUGCAAGUCGAGCGGUAAGGCCCUUUCGGGGGUACGACGAGCGGCGAACGGGUGAGUAACACGUGGGUGACCUGCCUUUAGUCUCUGGGAUAAGCCUGGGAAACCGGGUACUAAUACCGGAUAUGACUCCGCGGCGCAUGUUGUGGGGUGGAAAGCCUUGUGCGGCUGGAGAUGGGCCCGCGGCCUAUCAGCUUGUUGGUGGGGUGAUGGCCUACCAAGGCGACGACGGGUAGCCGGCCUGAGAGGGCGACCGGCCACACUGGGACUGAGACACGGCCCAGACUCCUACGGGAGGCAGCAGUGGGGAAUCUUGCGCAAUGGGCGAAAGCCUGACGCAGCGACGCCGCGUGA